UACGUAGGGUGCGAGCGUUAAUCGGAAUUACUGGGCGUAAAGCGUGCGCAGGCGGCGCGUUAAGACAGGUGUGAAAGCCCCGAGCUUAACUUGGGAAUUGCGCUUGUGACUGGCGUGCUGGAGUGUGGCAGAGGGAGGUGGAAUUCCACGUGUAGCAGUGAAAUGCGUAGAGAUGUGUAGGAACACCGAUGGCGAAGGCAGCCUCCUGGGCCAGCACUGACGCUCAUGCACGAAAGCGUGGGGAGCAAACAGG
rnacentral:rRNA from 1 species